rnacentral:rRNA from 1 species
AGAUUAAGUUAUUAAGGGCGCACGGUGGAUGCCUUGGCACUAGAAGCCGAUGAAGGACGUUACUAACGACGAUAUGCUUUGGGGAGCUGUAAGUAAGCUUUGAUCCAGAGAUUUCCGAAUGGGGAAACCCAGCAUGAGUUAUGUCAUGUUAUCGAUAUGUGAAUACAUAGCAUAUCAGAAGGCACACCCGGAGAACUGAAACAUCUUAGUACCCGGAGGAAGAGAAAGAAAAUUCGAUUCCCUUAGUAGCGGCGAGCGAAACGGGAAGAGCCCAAACCAACAAGCUUGCUUGUUGGGGUUGUAGGACACUCUAUACGGAGUUACAAAGGACGACAUUAGACGAAUCAUCUGGAAAGAUGAAUCAAAGAAGGUAAUAAUCCUGUAGUCGAAAAUGUUGUCUCUCUUGAGUGGAUCCUGAGUACGACGGAGCACGUGAAAUUCCGUCGGAAUUUGGGAGGACCAUCUCCUAAGGCUAAAUACUCUCUAGUGACCGAUAGCGAACCAGUACCGUGAGGGAAAGGUGAAAAGCACCCCGGAAGGGGAGUGAAAUAGAACCUGAAACCGUGUGCUUACAAGUAGUCAGAGCCCGUUAAUGGGUGAUGGCGUGCCUUUUGUAGAAUGAACCGGCGAGUUACGAUUUGAUGCAAGGUUAAGCAGUAAAUGUGGAGCCGUAGCGAAAGCGAGUCUGAAUAGGGCGUUUAGUAUUUGGUCGUAGACCCGAAACCAGGUGAUCUACCCUUGGUCAGGUUGAAGUUCAGGUAACACUGAAUGGAGGACCGAACCGACUUACGUUGAAAAGUGAGCGGAUGAACUGAGGGUAGCGGAGAAAUUCCAAUCGAACCUGGAGAUAGCUGGUUCUCUCCGAAAUAGCUUUAGGGCUAGCCUCAAGUGAUGAUUAUUGGAGGUAGAGCACUGUUUGGACGAGGGGCCCCUCUCGGGUUACCGAAUUCAGACAAACUCCGAAUGCCAAUUAAUUUAACUUGGGAGUCAGAACAUGGGUGAUAAGGUCCGUGUUCGAAAGGGAAACAGCCCAGACCACCAGCUAAGGUCCCAAAAUAUAUGUUAAGUGGAAAAGGAUGUGGCGUUGCCCAGACAACUAGGAUGUUGGCUUAGAAGCAGCCAUCAUUUAAAGAGUGCGUAAUAGCUCACUAGUCGAGUGACACUGCGCCGAAAAUGUACCGGGGCUAAACAUAUUACCGAAGCUGUGGAUUGUCCUUUGGACAAUGGUAGGAGAGCGUUCUAAGGGCGUUGAAGCAUGAUCGUAAGGACAUGUGGAGCGCUUAGAAGUGAGAAUGCCGGUGUGAGUAGCGAAAGACGGGUGAGAAUCCCGUCCACCGAUUGACUAAGGUUUCCAGAGGAAGGCUCGUCCGCUCUGGGUUAGUCGGGUCCUAAGCUGAGGCCGACAGGCGUAGGCGAUGGAUAACAGGUUGAUAUUCCUGUACCACCUAUAAUCGUUUUAAUCGAUGGGGGACGCAGUAGGAUAGGCGAAGCGUGCGAUUGGAUUGCACGUCUAAGCAGUAAGGCUGAGUAUUAGGCAAAUCCGGUACUCAUUAAGGCUGAGCUGUGAUGGGGAGAAGACAUUGUGUCUUCGAGUCGUUGAUUUCACACUGCCGAGAAAAGCCUCUAGAUAGAAAAUAGGUGCCCGUACCGCAAACCGACACAGGUAGUCAAGAUGAGAAUUCUAAGGUGAGCGAGCGAACUCUCGUUAAGGAACUCGGCAAAAUGACCCCGUAACUUCGGGAGAAGGGGUGCUCUUUAGGGUUAACGCCCAGAAGAGCCGCAGUGAAUAGGCCCAAGCGACUGUUUAUCAAAAACACAGGUCUCUGCUAAACCGUAAGGUGAUGUAUAGGGGCUGACGCCUGCCCGGUGCUGGAAGGUUAAGAGGAGUGGUUAGCUUCUGCGAAGCUACGAAUCGAAGCCCCAGUAAACGGCGGCCGUAACUAUAACGGUCCUAAGGUAGCGAAAUUCCUUGUCGGGUAAGUUCCGACCCGCACGAAAGGCGUAACGAUUUGGGCACUGUCUCAACGAGAGACUCGGUGAAAUCAUAGUACCUGUGAAGAUGCAGGUUACCCGCGACAGGACGGAAAGACCCCGUGGAGCUUUACUGUAGCCUGAUAUUGAAAUUCGGCACAGCUUGUACAGGAUAGGUAGGAGCCUUUGAAACGUGAGCGCUAGCUUACGUGGAGGCGCUGGUGGGAUACUACCCUAGCUGUGUUGGCUUUCUAACCCGCACCACUUAUCGUGGUGGGAGACAGUGUCAGGCGGGCAGUUUGACUGGGGCGGUCGCCUCCUAAAAGGUAACGGAGGCGCUCAAAGGUUCCCUCAGAAUGGUUGGAAAUCAUUCAUAGAGUGUAAAGGCAUAAGGGAGCUUGACUGCGAGACCUACAAGUCGAGCAGGGUCGAAAGACGGACUUAGUGAUCCGGUGGUUCCGCAUGGAAGGGCCAUCGCUCAACGGAUAAAAGCUACCCCGGGGAUAACAGGCUUAUCUCCCCCAAGAGUUCACAUCGACGGGGAGGUUUGGCACCUCGAUGUCGGCUCAUCGCAUCCUGGGGCUGUAGUCGGUCCCAAGGGUUGGGCUGUUCGCCCAUUAAAGCGGUACGCGAGCUGGGUUCAGAACGUCGUGAGACAGUUCGGUCCCUAUCCGUCGUGGGCGUAGGAAAUUUGAGAGGAGCUGUCCUUAGUACGAGAGGACCGGGAUGGACAUACCUCUGGUGUACCAGUUGUCGUGCCAACGGCAUAGCUGGGUAGCUAUGUGUGGACGGGAUAAGUGCUGAAAGCAUCUAAGCAUGAAGCCCCCCUCAAGAUGAGAUUUCCCAACUUCGGUUAUAAGAUCCCUCAAAGAUGAUGAGGUUAAUAGGUUCGAGGUGGAAGCAUGGUGACAUGUGGAGCUGACGAAUACUAAUCGAUCGAAGACUUAAUCAAAUU